GAUAAACGCUGGCGGCGUGCUUAACACAUGCAAGUCGAACGGAGUAUUUCUCCCGAGACCGAGGAAGCUUGCUUCCAAAGAAUCAUUUGAAAUACUUAGUGGCGGACGGGUGAGUAACGCGUGGGUAACCUGCCUCACACUGGGGGAUAGCAGUUGGAAACGACUGAUAAUACCGCAUAAGCGCACAAUACCGCAUGGUAUGGUGUGAAAAACUCCGGUGGUGUGAGAUGGACCCGCGUCUGAUUAGAUAGUUGGUGAGGCAACGGCUCACCAAGCCGACGAUCGGUAGCCGGACUGAGAGGUCGAUCGGCCACAUUGGGACUGAGACACGGCCCAGACUCC
rnacentral:rRNA from 1 species